GUGCUGCCACACGUUAAAAAAAAAAAACAAAAAUGGCGUACUUACCCGACUUGAAAGUUUCCCAGGCUGUCGCGCACAGUAACGUUCAAUUCCCGGCGACUGCUAUCGACGACAUAACCAUUCGACCAGACAUUUGGCGGCCGUGGCGGAAUGGUGGCAUCUGUGCUAAACUUGUAAACAGCUUCCUCGCUCCAAUGUGUUUUUGGAUGGUUGAGACGCCGACUCACGUUUAACGUGUAGUUCUGGUGCGGCAACAGUUGCGACAGACAUAUUAUUAGGUUUGAAUUGUCAGUCGACACUUUGUGGGUAGUAUUUGGCUCCAAUUUAAGAUUGUAUUCACAGCACGCGCCAUCAUGAUUUGAUUUCCUCAAAUCUGUAUAUUGUAGGCAGUGGGAGUUGCUGCUGCGAUUGAGCUGCCUCAGCUCCUCCAUGGCCGGCAGCACAGUGCACUCGGUCUUGGAUCGCGUGAAUGUGUUAUUCAUCACACCUAGACCAUCGUCCAUGGAGACCGUCAGCUUAUAUUCGGAUUCAAACUUGCUGAAGUGGCUACUGGGCACAAUGCAUUGCACCCUUGCAAAGCUGUUUGUUGUUGUGGUGCAGUUCCACCAGCGCCUCUUAUAUUCGAGCUUAUAACUGGUUUGUGGAUUCACAACGAAGGACUGAGGCGGCGCACUAAAUGUGCACACAAGUUGCGUACCGGGUUCAUCCAAAAAGUGGCAAUCAAAAUCGUCGAUGUGCAGCUGAACACCAAUCUGGAAUUUAAUGGCCACGAGACCUGCUCCGUUGCAGGAACAAAAAUAUCCGCUGCUUAUGUGUUGUGGCUGAGCCGAAUCAACUUGAUGAUACAAGGUUGUCGCAUUGAUAUAUUUCGUGGCCACUUUCGUGUUAUUCGCGAGCAUAUCAAUCUGUGAUGAUUUGCAAUUGCGUUGCACCUCUUCGAGAUCUACAAUCGAACAGGUAAUAUUAUACGCAUCGCCUUUGCGCAGUCGCUCUUGCGACACUUGAAUCUCGACACCUUUUGAUAUACCGCACUUACAAUACGAAGGCGAAAUGCACGUGAUCGCAAUGAAAAUCCAAACUGAUGAGAGCCGCAUCGCAGUUGCAGCCGACUUAAUAUAAAUACAUACGUAUUUACGUACUGUACAUACAACAAAAUUACAAAUCUAUAUUGAAAUCCGUCGGAGACGCGAGAUUGUUCGUUCGUGCUUUGCGACGCGAACUUGAGCUUCUGAUUGCUAAAAGUUGACAGUCGGGCUCAACGGCGGAGAUCGAUUUAAAAUAUAUGAGUUGUUCCUGAUACCCUUUAGUUUGUGGAGGGAAAAGACACUUAUCGUUGAAAGAAUCCAUCACAGAGUCAAAUGCAAACCUUAAAUUAUAUAAAGAUGAAUAUAGAAUUAACGAUCUUUAUCGAAAGAGCUUCUACCUAAGGAUGGAUGGAAGAUGAAUGCGUAUUUCGCAGUCGAUCAUAUUUCAUUUUGUUAUUUGUUAUUUGCCGCGGAUAUUGUUAUGAUUAAUUCUGUGAAUUUCUGUUAUUUAUUGGGAAACGAAUAUAAAAAAUGUAAUUACAAUAA